UAUGCUGUUUAUUGUGUAGAAUGGGAAAAAACAAGAACUUGAAUUUGGGACACUGGUGUUUAAGUCCGGGACAGUGCCAAGUAGAAUUCGGGGCAGCUGCGGGACACUGAGAAAAAAAGUUAAUUUCGAGCCCUGAUACCCAGAUAGCACACGUUUUGGCUGAAGUCUGGCAUACGUUUGGUAUUUUUGGGUUUGUUUUGGCAUAGAAGCAGCAAAGUAAAUGCUUUCGGCUGAACUGUGGCAAGAUUGUGGUUUACCAUAAUAGAUAAAAAGGCGCCAGCGGUAGAUAACUAGUUAUGGCAUAUGUCUGGUUAACCAGAUUUACUGACGUAUGCAGGUGCGUUUUGGCGUCCUUGUGGUUUGCCAGAAGACUGAUUAAAGACCGGGAAAUUUUUCUAGAAGAGACGUCUAGUACUUCACUAACUCCAGCACUAUCACAGACGGUAAGAACAUUUUCCUGUCUUCAAAUAAACAUCUGAAUUUUAUACAAAUAUAGUCGUGUUUCUACAUAGAUCUAUAACAGAUAUGACUAUAGCUUCGUUUUGGUGAAUAGCUUUGUAACAGCCCACUAUGCAAACGUUAUUUAUCGACAACACGUCUUUUUAUUACAGUAUUUGUAACGUAGCCUACUGGCUAAGUAGCUAUUUAACGUUAGCUUGUUAAUCUAAAGGCAAGCUUGUUAAUCUAAAGGCAAACUUGUUAAUCUAAAGGCAAACUUGUGAAACACAGGCAAACUUAAAUCACUGAACACAUCCAAUAUUGCACAUCCAAUUAUUUCCCUUUUUUCUGUUCUGUUUUCAGUGCAUAAGACAUUCAGUGGAGCUGCAGCAAGCAGUAUAAAUGGUGCAUAAGGCAUUCAGUGGAGCUGCACCUUAAGGCAAUAGUAAUGGAUGCUGUGAGAAGAAAUUCUGUUUGCUCUGCCAACAGUCGACCCGUUUACAGUAAUAAGUAUGCUGAUAUGACUUAACUAGAAUUGCGGUUCCGAAGA